rnacentral:misc_RNA from 1 species
UACAUCGAAAUGACGUCAUCUGACACGCUCAUGAGGUACCUAUAGGGUGUGACCCAUCGACAUCAGGUGUGAACCUAGUCUUAGGUGGAAGAAAUGUAGCAUUGUCAUCUUGGGAUUCAUUGCAUGGCGUAUGGCUGUUUGUCGAAACUAAAGUUUCAUCAUAUACUUUGUGGGGCUAUUUUGACAAGAAUAUAAUACAAUGGUGAUACUUUCAAAGGGAGAUUUUGUGUGGAUUGACCCCGAACAGCUUGGAGAGUUUGCUGUAGCAAUUGGCGCAAAAGUACAGCUGUCAGACCAUGGCCGUAUAAAAGUGGUGGACGAUGAUGGUAAAGAGCAUUGGUUAGAUGGAAAACGACAGAUGCGUCACAUGCAUCCAACUUCAGUUGAUGGAGUGGAUGACAUGAUAUCUCUGGGUGACCUUAAUGAAGCUGGCAUCCUCAGGAAUCUCCUGAUAAGAUACAUGGAUCACUGCAUCUAUACCUUCACAGGAUCUAUACUUGUGGCUGUCAAUCCUUAUGAGAUCCUUCCUAUCUACACAACUGAACAGAUUCAGCUGUAUAGAGACAGAAAAAUUGGAGAGCUGCCACCACACAUCUUUGCUAUUGCUGACAAUUCAUAUCACAACAUGCAGCGGUACCAGCAUGACCAGUGUAUAAUCAUCAGUGGUGAGUCUGGAGCAGGCAAGACAGAGAGCACAAAACUGAUCUUACAGUUUAUGGCUGCUGUUAGUGGCCAGCACUCAUGGAUUGAGCAGCAGAUUCUUGAAGCUAACCCUAUAAUGGAAGCAUUUGGCAAUGCAAAGACCAUUCGAAAUGACAAUUCCAGUCGAUUUGGCAAAUAUAUUGACAUUCACUUCAACCAAAAAGGGGUCAUAGAGGGAGCCAAAAUUGAACAAUAUCUUCUGGAGAAGUCACGCAUUGUCAAUCAAGCACAUGAUGAACGCAAUUACCACAUCUUCUACUGUAUGCUGGCUGGAUUGUCUCGUGAGGACUGUGCGAAACUGGAACUUCAAGCAGUGACACACUACUACUACCUUAUACAAGGUGGAAGCAUAGCUUGUGAAGGACGUGAUGAUAUCAAGGACUUUGCCGACAUCCGAUCAGCCAUGAAAGUCUUAAUGUUUUCUGAUGCAGAAGUUUGGGAAGUCUUCAAGAUUCUAGCAGCAUUGCUACAUUUAGGAAAUGUUCGCUAUAAUGCUAUCGAGCUGGAUAACAUUGAUGCAACAGAAAUUAAGGACAUUUCUUAUAUCAACAAAGCUGCCCAACUACUAGAGGUGAGUGCACAAGACUUGAUUGAUUCAUUAACAACAAAGACUAUAUUCACAAGAGGUGAAAGUGUCACAUCAACCAUGGACACUACUGCUGCUCUGGAUGUACGUGAUGCAUUUGUCAAAGGUAUAUAUGGCCGCAUGUUUGUUUGGAUUGUGGAAAAAAUCAAUGCCGCUAUCUACAAACCUGUCCAGGCUGGUAACUAUCGUCGAUCAAUUGGUGUUCUGGAUAUCUUUGGAUUCGAAAACUUUGAUCACAACAGUUUUGAGCAAUUGUGUAUCAACUUUGCCAAUGAAAAUCUUCAGCAGUUCUUUGUCAGACAUAUUUUCAAGCUUGAGCAGCAAGAAUACAAUCUUGAAGGAAUCAACUGGCAGCACAUCGAAUUUGUUGACAAUCAGGAGACUUUGGAUCUGAUUGCUGUGAAACCCAUGAAUAUUUUAGCACUUGUUGAUGAAGAAAGCAAGUUUCCAAAGGGUACAGAUGAGACCAUGCUGGAUAAGCUGCACUUAAAUCAUGCAUCUCAUCCACACUAUAUGAAGCCGAAGGCUCAAGUCAACCGCACUUUUGGUCUCAACCAUUUUGCAGGGGUGGUCUUCUAUGAUAGUCGAGGAUUUUUGGAGAAAAAUCGAGACACAUUCAGUGCAGACCUUGUGCAUUUAAUCCAAUCUUCGAGGAACAAGUUCAUCCAGAUGCUCUUCUCUUCUGAUAUCUCCAUGGGAACAGACACCAGGAAGAGGGCCCCAACACUUGCUUCUCAGUUUAAAAAGUCACUGGAUGCUUUGAUGAAGACACUCAGUCUUUGCCAGCCAUUUUUUGUGCGGUGCAUCAAACCAAAUGAGUUCAAGAAACCACUGAUGUUUGACAGAGAAUUAUGCUGUAGACAACUGCGUUACUCAGGCAUGAUGGAGACAAUUCGCAUAAGACGUGCAGGAUAUCCUAUUCGACAUCAUUUUGAUAAAUUUGUGGAUCGAUAUCGACUUCUUGUAAAUGGAAUAGGUCCAUCCCAUAAGGAAGAUUGCAGACAAGCUGCUCUUCGCAUCUGCAAGGAAGUUUUGAAGGAUGCAGAUUAUCAAAUGGGAAAAACCAAAGUCUUUCUAAAGGAUGCUCAGGAUGGAUUUUUGGAGCAGCAAAGAGAGUUGUCACUGACUCACAAGAUUCUUGUGAUCCAGAAUGCCGUUCGAUCAUGGCAUUAUCGCAGGCGCUUCCUACGCAUGCGUAAAAAUAUUGUCAUUCUUCAGACUUGCUGGCGUGCAUUUGCUGAGCGCUCACACUUUAUCAAGAUGAGACAAGGCUAUAUGAGACUUCAGGCUGUCAUCCGCUCACGGAUUCUUACAGCACAUUUCUGUGUGAUCAGAAGCUGGACAAUAAAUCUGCAGAAAGUGUGUCGUGGAUAUCUGGUGCGACAAUGGGUGCAAAAGCGCAUGUUGUCAGUUGUUCAGAUUCAAGCAGCUGUGCGUACCAUCAUUGCUCGGUUACGAUAUCAUCGGUUGUUAAUAGAGCACCAGAAGAGGAUGGAAGCAGAGCGUUUGCGUCAGGAAGAGGAAGCAAAACUCAGGAAGAAAAUGAACAAUAAAAAAGCUAAAGAAGAGGCAGAACGUCACCACCAGGAACGUUUGAUAGCAAUUGAAAGAGAGGUUGAAGAACAAGUGCAGAAGCAGAGGCAAGAGGCACUCAUCCGCAAGAUGCAGAUUGAAGAAGCAGAACGCAGUAGAAAUGACCCUAUAAGUGAUCCUGAUCUGGUUGAUAAACUCUUUGAUUUCGGUGAUGGCUCAGAUAGUAAUCAGCGAACUGAAGUGGAAACAACAACAGCAUUUGGGUACUUGAAAAAUGGAACUGUUGACCCAGGGGAGAUAUCAACAGUCAUUCCUAUGCCUGCAGACAGAGAUGAUGGUGAUAUUGAUAUUUCUGAGUACAAGUUUUCUAAGUUUGCAGCUAUGUACUUCCAGUACAAUGCUACACAUACCUACAUUCGUCGAGCCCUAAAACAACCUCUCUUACCGCUUCAUAAUGAGGGUGACCAGUUGGCUGCUCUGGCUGUUUGGAUUGUCAUCUUGCGCUUCAUGGGAGAUCUGCCAGAACCCAAGUAUCACACUGCAAUGGCAGAAACAAAGGACAGCACUCCUGUGAUGACCAAAAUUUAUUCUACAUUGGGACGUAAAUUCAACAAGAAGGAUUUAGAUGAUGCCAUGAAAAUGGGUGAAGAACUGGAACGUGAAGCAAACACGAUUCCAUAUGCUCGAAGUACUUUGAGAAAAUCACCCAAGAGAAAAAUUGUUUCUUUGACAUUGAAGAAGAAGUCUAAACUGACAGAGGAAGUGAGGGGCAAACUUCAAGACUAUGAUAAUGGAGGAGGUUCUAAUGCCCUUUUGGAAGAUCGGCCUAUGUCUCACCUAGAAAAGCUUCAUUUCAUCAUAGGACAUGGUAUUUUACGUCCAGACCUAAGGGAUGAAAUCUACUGUCAGAUCUGUAAACAACUGGCUCAGAAUCCUUCAAAGAGCAGUCAUGCUAGAGGCUGGAUCCUUCUGUGUCUUUGUGUUGGCUGCUUUCCACCUUCAGAGAAGCUUGUCAACUAUUUGCGCAACUAUAUACGAGAAGGACCACCAGGUUAUGCACCUUAUUGUGAAGACAGACUGAGGCGCACAUUUUACAAUGGUCCUCGAAAUCAACCACCAAGCUGGCUAGAGCUUCAGGCAACAAAAUCAAAGAAACCAUUGUUACUGCCAAUCACCUUUAUGGAUGGGAAUACAAAGACAUUAUCUGCAGAUUCAGCAACAACUGCACGUGAACUCUGUCAGCAGCUGUCUGACAAAAUUGGUCUUCGUGAUCAGUUUGGAUUCUCCUUAUACAUUGCUCUUUUUGACAAGGUCUCUUCACUUGGCAGUGGUGGGGAUCAUGUAAUGGAUGCCAUUUCACAGUGUGAGCAGUAUGCCAAAGAACAAGGAGCACAGGAGCGCAAUGCUCCUUGGCGCCUGUUCUUCCGUAAAGAGAUUUUUGCACCUUGGCAUGACCCUAGUGAGGAUCAUGUAGCCACAAAUCUAAUAUUUCAGCAGGUAGUGCGUGGUAUCAAGUUUGGUGAAUAUCGUUGUGAUAAGGAGGAGGAUUUGGCAAUGAUAGCAGCUCAACAGUAUUUUGUGGAGUAUGGUAACAGCUUGAUUCCAGAGAGACUGCAGACAUUGUUAGGGUCCUACAUUCCAGAUGCUUAUCUGCAGAAACCAAAUGCUGCAGAAAACUGGAUGAAGGGUAUCAUAAGCAAGCUACGCAGCCCAUACUUCUCAAAUGAGCGUAUUAAACCUGAAAAGGUAAAGGAAGAUGUUGUGAGCUAUGCAAAAUACAAGUGGCCCCUGCUGUUUUCACGUUUCUAUGAAGCUUACAAGUUUUCUGGACCCAGUCUUCCCAAAAAUGAUGUCAUUAUUGCAGUAAACUGGACAGGAGUAUAUGUGGUUGAUGACCAAGAACAAGUUCUUCUGGAACUGUCCUUUCCAGAAAUCACGGCAGUGUCAAGUAGUCGAACAGGAAAAAUGCAUGGACAAAGCUUUACGCUGGCAACUGUAAAAGGAGAUGAGUAUACAUUCACUUCUCCAAAUGCAGAAGACAUCCGUGACUUAGUUGUCACUUUCCUGGAAGGUUUGAAGAAACGUUCAAAAUUUGUCAUUGCUAUUCAGGACUACUCCUCUCAAGAUGGAUCAAAUUUCCUGACUUUCCAUAAGGGCGACCUUAUUGUUUUGGACCAGUUCAAUGGUGAGAUGGCAAUGAAUUCUGGGUGGUGCUCUGGUGAAAAUAUUCGAACUGCUCAAAAGGGUGACUUUCCUGCUGAAUGUGUCUAUGUCCUUCCUACAAUCACAAGACCCCCAGAAGAAAUUUUGAACUUAUUUGUACAUUCUGGACAAAGUUCAGAACAUAUUCUACUUCCAACUCAGGAAGAAAUUUCUGUAAAAGUGGAUGAAACAGCUCAUACAUUAGAAAGUUUUGCCAUGGACCAUUUCAGGUUGCCUCCAAAAAGAACACUGACUGGUACACUAAAAACUCCACGACGAAAGCACUCAGAUGAGUUGUGGCAUUACUCUAAAGAACCCAUAAAGCAACCUCUGCUAAAAAAACUGGCUGGCAAGGAAGAGCUUAGCACAGAUGCAUGCUCAUGUUUUCUUUCUAUUUUGAAGUACAUGGGAGAUCAUCCAAGCCGCAAAGGCAGGGUAGCCAAUGAAUUCACAGACCAGAUUUUUGAGGCUUCUCUAAGAAAUGAGAUACUGCGAGAUGAGAUUUAUUGUCAGCUUAUGAAGCAGCUCACUGAUAAUCGAAAUGUGGUGAGUGAAGAGAGAGGCUGGCAAUUGAUGUGGCUAGCUACAGGAUGUUUUGCACCAAGCACCAACUUGCUCCGAGAGCUAAAUCAAUUUCUUCGCACUAGAUCUCACCCAAUCACAGCAGACUGCAUCAGUCGUUUGCAAAAGACCCUAAGAAAUGGAACACGCAAGUACCCACCACAUCAAGUUGAGGUAGAGGCUAUCCAGCAUAAAACAACACAGAUACUUCACAAGGUCUAUUUUCCUGAUGAUUCUGAUGAGGCAUUUGAGGUUGAAUCAAGCACAAGAGCAAAGGAUUUUUGUCACAAUAUUGCCACUAAGCUUGCUUUGAAAUCCUCUGAAGGCUUCAGCCUAUUUGUCAAGAUAGCUGACAAAGUCAUUAGUGUGCCAGAAGGGGAUUUCUUCUUUGACUUUGUCAGGCAUUUGACUGACUGGAUUCGUAAAGCAAGACCAGCAAGAGAUGGUGCACCUCCCCAAUUCACUUACCAAGUUUUCUUUAUGAAGAAGUUGUGGACCAAUACAGUGCCUGGUCAAGAUAUCAAUGCAGAUCUCAUUUUCCACUAUCAUCAAGAACUUCCAAAAUAUCUGCGAGGCUAUCACAACUGUAAUAAAGAAGAAGCAGCUCAGCUGGGAGCCAUAAUUUACCGUGUUAAGUAUGGGGAUAAUAAACAACACCUUGUGAACAUUCCGGCAAAUCUCAGACAGCUCAUCCCAAAUGAUAUGUUAAAGGCACAGUCUCCUGAUGAUUGGAAAAGGACUUCAUCUUACCCACUUCACUCAGCAGGUGAUACACUGUGACUCAACAGUCCCUGCUGGCCAGCAAACCUUCAUGUGCUGAUUCUUUGGCUGAGAACACUCUUCCUUUACACCUCUCCCGCCCCCACCCACCAGGCUGCCUUUUUGAAGACCUGCCUUAUUGGUCCAAGAUAAUAAACAGAUUCUGUAAACUUCAGUGUCUGAAACACAGCAGUUUAUUUAUUAUCUAAUUUUAAAUUUAGCAAUUUCUUCAAAGUUAUGGAAAAUCUCACUCCCACUGAUUGUAAAGGUUCAGAAAUUCAAAAUACAAUAUACUCAGAAAGCAGAUGAUGAAGAACGAUUUCACAAUACCACAUGGUAAGCAUCGUUGAUGUUGAUAAGAUUUUGCAAGCUGCAGAUGACAAUUACAAUUUAUGUUUGUUAACUUAUGUACUGUCACAAAAGCCUCAAGUGUGAAAAUUUACAAUUGGGACUAAUUUGCACAUUUAUGUGGGCAUAGUUACUCAUACGAUCAUUGGCAUAAAUAACAAUUAGAUAAAAAGAGACUUUUUGCCUGCACAAUUUUUUUAAAUGUAAAAUUAGGGAAAUAUUUUUUGAAACACUGUUGCCAAUAUUCCUUAUCCUUUACUGUGUGCAUAUUACUAGCAACUUACUGUGUUGCUGGUCAAAGCUAUAAUACUGUGCUUUGAAAAGUUGAAUUUGAAGUACAUUUAUCAGUAUAACUUCAGGUGCUCAGGCAGCUACUCAGUAGUGUUGUCUAACAUGAACAAUUGAAGAAAUCAUUUUUAUUUAAUUUCUCAAGAUUCAUGUUUUUCCUUUUGAUCUCAUGUUCAAUGUAUUAACAAGUGAUAAAAAAGGACUUUGAGCAUAUGUGUCACAGGUUGGGUAGGUCUUUAAGUGUUUUCAACUAGCUGCUUAAGACUGUCUCAUUUGAAAUGACUUUCCAAGCCAAGUGCCUUGAGUUGUUUUUAUGGGAUCAGUAUGCUUUACAAGUCUCAUAAAUUUCACUUAUUGGAAGCAAUGCAGAAUCAUUUUAUUCUCAUUUUCUUUCUCUUUCUUACUCGCACAUUUUCCAAGUUAACAGUUUAAAGCUUUUUAAUAUAAAUAAUAGCUACCUCCACAUUUUGAUCUUAGAUAAUAAUGAAUUGAUCUUAUCAAUAAAGCUCAGGAUAGCAAUGUGUGUGUGUGGGGGGGUGGUUUGUUUAAAAACCAUAAGAAAUCAUUAGAAAUCAUCCAAUUUGAAUAAGCCUUAUUUAGUGCAAAUGGCAAAUGAAGACUUAGAGACAAGCUCAUUUAAAUCUACAAAUAUAAAGAAAAGAGAAACACUGUCUAGAGAAAUAUUUGUGGAAAGUCUGUUUUUUUACAUCAAUGUUCUUUUUAAUUUGCAAACAAAAAAAAUUAAUGAUGUAUCAAGAGUGGUUCUGGUAUAUUAUUAAUUUAUGCACACAAGCUCAAGAUUUGAGCUUCUUGCUCUCUGCUGUCUUUAUGAACUCUAAUAAGUUUAGCUCAUUUCAAUGUUUUCUGUACAUGAAGCAGUCCGGUGGCGCAACGGUUAGCGCCUGUCACCAGUACAGUGAAGGUUGGCUGCCCUGAGUUCAUUUCUCGUCUCGGGCACGCUGUUCUUUCUCUGCACGUGGCAUCUGUUUACAGGGCUGGCUGCUUGCCGUAAUAUAGCCUUAGUUGCUGACACGGCUUAAAACACCAAUUUCCCCCCCCCCCCUUUUCUGUACAUGAUCUGGCCUGAUCAACAGACUUUUCCUUUUAUUGUGUCUUCUACCUUACUUCCUUACUUACCCUUGCCUUCUCCCCACAAAUUGUCUUUGCUUCUUUUUCUUCACUCUGAUAAUAUGUUCUACUACUUAGAAUUGUAAGUAUUUCCUGACAAAUUCAGCUUCAUGUGUCUUUUUCUGCUGGUUGCCCUGAAUAUAUUUUAGUUGAACUCUGUGUACGUACAUACUUGACAAGUCAGCUCUUUGAAUAAUUCCUGUAAUAAGAGCUUGUUCAGUAUCUAAACCUUACUUGCUGUUUAUAGCAUAUCAGCCAUAAAGGCAGUUUUUGUUUUGUUUUGGUUUUUUUUUUUUUUAGUUGUUUAUUUUAAGCCAACAUAAUAAUUAUAAAUAAUAAAUAUUAUAAUAAAAUGUAAUCACAGCCAGGAAGGCACAUGCUCCCCAAAUAAAUUUUUGAAUUCACAUAUUACAGUCCCCUUCCCAAGGUCAGGGAAAAUCAGAAAAGUCACCAAAAUCCAAAUACCAAUUCCAGUUAGUAGAAAAGCUGAGGAGUUUGCUUAAAUGACUCGCUGGUCUAUCAGAUUUUGGAAAAUUCAUUUAGUUAUGUCCUUUCACCUAACAUGGAAAUUUUAAGAUUUUUUUUUUUUUUUUACACUCUUCUCAAGCAGUUGCAUGCCCUUUAUCUCUUGUUAAAUUUUUCUUCAGUUGAUAAAAAUGUUUGCUUCACAACUUUCUUGAAAAAUAGGAGGAGUAUACUUGGUCAGCUUAACUAAAAAGGUGUUGGCUAGACCUAGUUGUGAAGUCUAAAGAGCCAGAAAAAUUCUUAAAGUCUAAAGAUUCAGAAAAAUUCUGUCCUCAGAUAUUUUUUAAAAUUAUUAUUAAAGUGUUAAUUGAAUGUUCAGAAUAUAGUUACGAUCACUGCUGAAGUGGAUUACUGGCUGGAAAACUUAAAAUUGAUGCUGGAAAUGUCCAGAAAAAGACCUGAAAUUUCUAUCCAAGUAUUAUAAACCUUAAACUUCUUAAGGCUGCUUGUUGUUGUGAUAGUUUAUGUUGAUAUGGGCUAGAUAACAUAAAAUCUGAACAAAUAUUCUUGAACAUAAAACAGAAGCAACAAGUUGGAAAAUUAAGCCAUUCUUGCAUAUGUCAUAUUUUUGCUUUUUGUGUGGUUAUUUUUCUUUUUUUUUAAGAUUUGUCAAAUCUUGUGGUUUCUUAUGGUUUUUUAUGGGUUUUUAUUUUAAAUCUGUAACUCUGGCUCUGAAGUACUUGACAUGUAUAGUGUGUGUAUGUGUGUUUGCGCAUGCAUGCAUGUGUUCUGGAUGUAUUUGCAUGUGUUUGUGUAGGUGAUUAUUGCAGCAUUCAAUAGAGAUGCAGGUAAAAGUUGCGAUGAUGCUAAAGUUGACUUCCUGAAGAUUAUCUACAGGUGGCCUACUUUUGGUUCUGCUUUCUUUGAGGUCAAGCAAACAACAGAGCCUAACUAUCCAGAAAUCCU